AUUUUAAUUGGUGAUGGAGUUCGCCUUUAAUUGCUAAAUAGCUGAUAACUCCUAUUGAAGC
rfam:Planctomycetes bacterium RIFCSPHIGHO2_02_FTLL_38_41 rifcsphigho2_02_scaffold_83486, whole genome shotgun sequence.